UGUUAAAACAUGUUAGUAUCAUAAUGCAGAGAAUAAAGAGAAGCUAGAUGAUUGUUGUUGUAUUUCUUGUUAUUUCUUACUGAUACACUUCUCCCAUUUAUAGUGUUUGAUGGGAGAUGAUAUUCAAUAUUGCUGAUACAAAGUCAUAAGGAUCCCUUUGAUUAAGGGAUCCUUAGUUUUCUUUUGAUCUACCUUUGGAGUUAAUACUUGCUGCUUUUACUGACUUUGGUAUCUUAUUCUCAACACUCCCCCUCAAGUUGAGUGACGGGAUUUCCGAUACUCAACUUGGAAAGAACUUCUGAAAAACUUUUGAAGUCCACAGCUUUGGUUAAGAUAUCAGCGAGCUGAUCUUCGGACCUCACAAACGGGAGCUCCACAAUCUUUUCCUCAAUCUUUUCCUUGAUAAAGUGCCUAUCCACUUCGACAUGUUUAGUUCUAUCAUG
rnacentral:lncRNA from 1 species